GACGAACGCUGGCGGCGUGCUUAACACAUGCAAGUCGAACGAUGAAGCCUUCGGGUGGAUUAGUGGCGAACGGGUGAGUAACACGUGGGUGAUCUGCCCUGCACUUUGGGAUAAGCCUGGGAAACUGGGUCUAAUACCGAAUAUGAUCAUGCUCUUCAUGGGGUGUGGUGGAAAGCUUUUGCGGUGUGGGAUGGGCCCGCGGCCUAUCAGCUUGUUGGUGGGGUAAUGGCCUACCAAGGCGACGACGGGUAGCCGGCCUGAGAGGGUGACCGGCCACACUGGGACUGAGAUACGGCCCAGACUCCUACGGGAGGCAGCAGUGGGGAAUAUUGCACAAUGGGCGCAAGCCUGAUGCAGCGACGCCGCGUGAGGGAUGACGGCCUUCGGGUUGUAAACCUCUUUCAGCACAGACGAAGCGCAA
rnacentral:rRNA from 1 species